GGGUUGUAACGCAUGAUCGACUUGAGAGGUUGUGCCCUUGAGGCGUGGACUUCCGGAGCUAACGCGUUAAGUCGACCGCCUGGGGAGUACGGCCGCAAGGUUAAAACUCAAAUGAAUUGACGGGGGCCCGCACAAGCGGUGGAGCAUGUGGUUUAAUUCGAUGCAACGCGAAGAACCUUACCUGGUCUUGACAUCCACGGAAGUUUUCAGAGAUGAGAAUGUGCCUUCGGGAACCGUGAGACAGGUGCUGCAUGGCUGUCGUCAGCUCGUGUUGUGAAAUGUUGGGUUAAGUCCCGCAACGAGCGCAACCCUUAUCCUUUGUUGCCAGCGGUCCGGCCGGGAACUCAAAGGAGACUGCCAGUGAUAAACUGGAGGAAGGUGGGGAUGACGUCAAGUCAUCAUGGCCCUUACGACCAGGGCUACACACGUGCUACAAUGGCGCAUACAAAGAGAAGCGACCUCGCGAGAGCAAGCGGACCUCAUAAAGUGCGUCGUAGUCCGGAUUGGAGUCUGCAACUCGACUCCAUGAAGUCGGAAUCGCUAGUAAUCGUGGAUCAGAAUGCCACGGUGAAUACGUUCCCGGGCCUUGUACACACCGCCCGUCACACCAUGGGAGUGGGUUGCAAAAGAAGUAGGUAGCUUAACCUUCGGGAGGGCGCUUACCACUUUGUGAUUCAUGACUGGGGUGAAGUCGAAAAA
rnacentral:rRNA from 1 species